CAGUAGCCACGGUAAUACGGAGGGGGCUAGCGUUGUUCGGAAUUACUGGGCGUAAAGCGCACGUAGGCGGCUUUGUAAGUUAGAGGUGAAAGCCCGGAGCUCAACUCCGGAAUUGCCUUUAAGACUGCAGAGCUAGCAGGUGAGAGAGGUGAGUGGAAUUCCGAGUGUAGAGGUGAAAUUCGUAGAUAUCGGAAGGAACACCUGUGGCGAAAGCGGCUCACUGGACAUUUACUGACGCUGAUGCACGAAAGCUAGGGGAGCAAACAGGAUUAGAUACCCCCGUAGUCCCUGUCUCUUAUAC
rnacentral:rRNA from 1 species